CGGCGUGCCUAACACAUGCAAGUCGAGCGAGGGUUUGCUCAGUAUUGAGUAUUCUAAGACUAGAAUGUUCAAUUCUGAGCAAAACCAAGCGGCGGACGGGUGAGUAACGCGUGGGUAACCUGCCCUAUACACAUGGAUAACAUACUGAAAAGUUUACUAAUACAUGAUAAUAUAUAUUUGCGGCAUCGCAGAUAUAUCAAAGUGUUAGCGGUAUAGGAUGGACCCGCGUCUGAUUAGCUAGUUGGUGAGAUAACUGCCCACCAAGGCGACGAUCAGUAGCCGACCUGAGAGGGUGAUCGGCCACAUUGGAACUGAGACACGGUCCAAACUCCUACGGGAGGCAGCAGUGGGGAAUAUUGCACAAUGGGCGAAAGCCUGAUGCAGCAACGCCGCGUGAACGAUGAAGGUCUUCGGAUCGUAAAGUUCUGUUGCAGGGGAAGAUAAUG
rnacentral:rRNA from 1 species